rnacentral:tRNA from 1 species
GAGGGGUGUAUUAAACACUAAGAGCUGCUAACUCUUUUCACUGAAGUUAAAAUCCUCAGACUCCUUA